rnacentral:rRNA from 1 species
UACGUAGGGGGCGAGCGUUGUCCGGAAUCAUUGGGCGUAAAGCGCGUGUAGGCGGCUCGAAAAGUCUGGUGUGAAAACUGGAGGCUCAACCUCCAGCUGUCGCUGGAUACUAUCGGGCUUGAGUCCGGAAGAGGAGAGUGGAAUUCCUGGUGUAGCGGUGGAAUGCGCAGAUAUCAGGAGGAACACCAAUGGCGAAGGCAGCUCUCUGGUACGUGACUGACGCUGAGACGCGAAAGCGUGGGGAGCGAACAGG